UACAGAGGUCCCAAGCGUUGUUCGGAUUCACUGGGCGUAAAGGGUGCGUAGGUGGUGAGGUAAGUCGGAUGUGAAAGCUCGGAGCUCAACUCCGAAAUGGCAUUGGAAACUACCUUGCUCGAGGGUUGGAGGGGGGACUGGAAUACUUGGUGUAGCAGUGAAAUGCGUAGAUAUCAAGUGGAACACCAGUGGCGAAAGCGGCUUCCUGGUCCAGCACCGACGUUCAGGCACGAAAGCGUGGGGAGCAAACAGG
rnacentral:rRNA from 1 species